rnacentral:tRNA from 1 species
GGAGAGUUGUCCGAGCUGGCCGAAGGAGCACGACUGGAAAUCGUGUAGUGAGUUAAAGCUUACUCGAGGGUUCGAAUCCCUUGCUCUCCGCCA